rnacentral:rRNA from 1 species
UCGAGCGAUGAAGCACCUUCGGGUGCGAAUUAGCGGCGAACGGGUGAGGAACACGUGAGAAAUCUGCCUUCAACACUGGGAUAACUCCGGGAAACCGGGGCUAAUACCGGAUAUGAAACCUGCGGGCAUCCGCGGGUUUGGAAAGUUUUUCGGUUGAAGAUGAUCUCGCGGCCUAUCAGCUUGUUGGUGAGGUAAUGGCUCACCAAGGCGACGACGGGUAGCCGGCCUGAGAGGGCGACCGGCCACACUGGGACUGAGACACGGCCCAGACCCCUACGGGAGGCAGCAGUGGGGAAUAUUGGGCAAUGGAGGAAACUCUGACCCAGCGACGCCGCGUGC